CAUCGUAUAGUUUAUAUUAGAUUAGAAUGUUAGUUUUGGGAACUAUUGGAUUUGACGAUGA
rnacentral:tRNA from 1 species